GGUCUCCUUCCUCACCUUGUUUCUUGCUACUCAAACUACACAAGUCAUAAUGUCUACCAGUGGUGUUCAAAGCCUUUUCUUUUGUCUCCUCAUUGUCUUUCUCUUUGUCCAAGUGUUUUCCGAAGCAUCUUUAGAGAGUGAAGAAGAGGUUUUUGAUAUUGCUGUUGUAACACCAAAGAUAAAUUGCAACUUUCGCAUGUGCGAAGAGAUGCAUGAACGCAUCGAGGCAAAAAGUGUGCACAAGAGCAUGCGGUACGUGUUGUAGCCGGUGCCAAUGUGUGCCGGCCGGCACGUAUGGGAACAAGAACUCAUGUCCUUGCUAUGCAAAUCUUACAACUAAAGGGAAAAAACCUAAGUGUCCUUGAAUAAUGGUUGUUGUGUUUAAUGGUUUUAUUGGCCUUGAAUUUAUGAAUUUAUGUACGUAGUUAUCAUAAUAAGCGUAUCUUGUAUUUGUGUUUGUUUAUAGUGUACGUUCUUGUUGCAUUGUUAGUUCUUGUGUGUCACUUUGGAAGGGAUGAUUUUAUUUGAGAUUGUAUAAAGAGAUUUAAGGGAUUGUUUUAA